UGCCAGUAGAGGCUGCUCCGUCAGAGCCGGU
rnacentral:sRNA from 1 species